rnacentral:rRNA from 1 species
UACAGAGGGUGCGAGCGUUGUUCGGAAUUAUUGGGCGUAAAGCGCUUGUAGGCGGCUUGUUAAGUUCCGUGUGAAAUCCCGAGGCUCAACCUCGGAACUGCGUCUGAAACUACUCGACUAGAGUACUGGAGAGGGUAACGGAAUUCACGGUGUAGCAGUGAAAUGCGUAGAUAUCGUGAGGAACACCAGAGGCGAAGGCGGUUACCUGGACAGUUACUGACGCUCAGGCACGAAAGCAUGGGGAGCAAAAGGG